CGGGAUGUAGCACAGCCUGGUAGUGUGCACGUUUGGGGGGCGUGAGGUCGCAGACGGUCGGCCGCUGCCGUUCAAAUCCUGUCAUUCCGACAA
rnacentral:tRNA from 1 species